rnacentral:rRNA from 1 species
CAAGUCGAACGAUGAUCCCCAGCUUGCUGGGGGGAUUAGUGGCGAACGGGUGAGUAACAGGUGAGUAACCUGCCCUUGACUCUGGGAUAAGCCUGGGAAACUGGGUCUAAUACCGGAUACGACCAUCUGACGCAUGUCAUGGUGGUGGAAAGCUUUUGCGGUUUUGGAUGGACUCGCGGCCUAUCAGCUUGUUGGUGGGGUAAUGGCCUACCAAGGCGACGACGGGUAGCCGGCCUGAGAGGGUGACUGGCCACACUGGGACUGAGACACGGCCCAGACUCCUACGGGAGGCAGCAGUGGGGAAUAUUGCACAAUGGGCGGAAGCCUGAUGCAGCGACGCCGCGUGAGGGAUGACGGCCUUCGGGUUGUAAACCUCUUUCAGUAGGGAAGAAGCGAAAGUGACGGUACCUGCAGAAGAAGCGCCGGCUAACUACGUGCCAGCAGCCGCGGU